ACUUGGAUCAACUUGGUAUAUACAAUCGCAUAAGUCAAAUCUCUAGCUAAUAUAUAAGAAGUUAAGUGAAUGGAACGACUUAACAAGCAGUUUCCCAUGCCUUAUUGUUACUGGCUUAGUGUUAAUUAGUCUGUUAGACUGUUACUAUGGCUGCAAAGAAGAGACCAUUACGCUAUAUUGAGCGUAGCUAAUAAACAAGAUUUUGAACUAAAACACAACUCAAGCUUAUGGAAAUUAAACUGGGUUAAAUCAGCUAAUGAUUCAUUUUUUUAUACUUUGCCAAUUUGGACUACGUACAUGCAAGUUGUAUAGUUUUAUGAUUAAAAUAGUGUGCAUAUAUGUAUAUCUUUACAAUAACGUGCAUGCAUGCUAGCCGCGCUACAUAUAUUUUAUUAUUCAUGUUUUUAAACACUUUUUAUCAUUAUUAAUGGUAUCAAAAUAUAUUUAAUAUAACUCCUUAUUUUUGUUUGACCUUCAUAUAUAUUUUAUUAUUCAUGUUUUUAAACACUUUUUAUCAUUAUUAAUGUUAUCAAAAUAUAUUUAAUAUAACUCCUUAUUUUUGUUUGACCUUCAUAUAUUGUAUCUUGAUCUAGUUUGCUAUUCCUUCCUUGAUUAUGUCCCCUCCACCUCCUGAUUCUUAAAUCUUGAUCUCUAUAUACCUCUCAACCGAAAUCUCAAGUAAUCAAAUCCUUGAAUCGAUUGAUUGUUAACGACGAAUUAAAUCUUAGACCCGAUCAUGGAAGCCUAGGAACUUAAUACUUUUUUUUGUGAAAGGAACUUAAUACUUUUGAGGCAUCACUUGUUGAAUUGAUCAUAACCUCUCUCUCUCUCUAUCAGGAGAAAUUUUCUUAAUUUACGUUCUUACGAGAGAUCGAUCCAACACCGCAAAAUCAAACUUCUUGAUUGCGAUUAUUAUUCAGCUGGGAAAAGACAAUUAGAAAAAGGAAAAGACAAGUGAGAAGACUUAACGCCGCGCUAACGAACGUCACUUCUUGCAAAACAAUAUUCCGGAUUAGGCAACCUCGUUUCCUGUGGAGAGUCUUAAUUUGAUAUUGAAUAAAGUUUCAAACGGUCCGCGUAAGAUUAUUGAUAUAAAUAUACAUUCAAUCUAAAAUAAUGUUCGAAGCUAUGUAAAAAAAAUGCAUCACUUCGUGGUUUUUAGCGUUCUCCCCUCUGCAUCGCCUAUAUAUUAAAACCUCCUUUUGGCUAAAUAAUUCACUAAGAAAGAAAGAAAGAAAGAAAGAAAGAAAGAAAGAAGAGCAAUGGGGAGCUUAAGAAUGAGCACAGCUAUUGUCGCUGCAUUUUUUGUUUGUCUCUCCAUCAUGCAAUCCUCUGCAGUUGCACAGUUUCAGUUUGCACCUCCCAUGAUUCUGUGCGCCACUCCAUACGGUCUCUGUACAUCUGCGGAUCCUUCCGGUGUAGUAUGCAAUGAGAGAUGUCUCAAUGCGGAGGGAAGAAAUUAUGUUGACGGCAUAUGCAUGACUAAUCCGGGGACUUGUAUGUGCUGCUAUAGAAUCGGUGUUUAGAAAAGAAAGCAAGAUCCGAUUUCAAAAGAUAGAAAACGACGUCACUUUAUGUGGGUCUGUGUGUGUGAAGGUGUUGCAAUUUGAAAUUUAUGUUUUGAGUGUUUUCUGUUCUACUUUGUUGUACCGUGAUUUGUGUUCUGUUUGUUUUGUGGUGAUCAAGUUUCAUAUAAUAAAGCUGGGUUGUUUCUGA